rnacentral:rRNA from 1 species
UUUCGGUUAUUGAUGGGGAUGCGUUCCAUUAGAUAGUUGGCGGGGUAACGGCCCACCAAGUCAACGAUGGAUAGGGGUUCUGAGAGGAAGGUCCCCCACAUUGGAACUGAGACACGGUCCAAACUCCUACGGGAGGCAGCAGUGAGGAAUAUUGGUCAAUGGACGAGAGUCUGAACCAGCCAAGUAGCGUGAAGGAUGACUGCCCUAUGGGUUGUAAACUUCUUUUAUACGGGAAUAAAGUGGAGUAUGCAUACUCCUUUGUAUGUACCGUAUGAAUAAGGAUCGGCUAACUCCGUGCCAGCAGCCGCGGUAAUACGGAGGAUCCGAGCGUUAUCCGGAUUUAUUGGGUUUAAAGGGAGCGUAGGCGGGUGCUUAAGUCAGUUGUGAAAAGUUUGCGGCUCAACCGUAAAAUUGCAGUUGAUACUGGGUACCUUGAGUGCAGCAUAGGUAGGCGGAAUUCGUGGUGUA